UCAUGCACCAAUCAGUAAUCAACGACCUGAGCACAUUCGCAUACAUACGAUAAAACGUGCCACUGACUGCAAGCAUGCGAUAAUUGUUCGGGUCCAAGAAAGCACCCUUCUUGUAUAGCGGCGCCAUCUUAGCUUUCUUCCAAUCAGCAGGAAUGCGGGCUUUCUCAUACAGGAGCUUGAACAGCUGCGCAAUGUAAGGCUGGAGAACAUUGACCCUAUCAUACCCUCGCCUACCUAGUCG
rnacentral:lncRNA from 1 species